UACGUAUGGUGCGAACGUUGUUCGGAAUCACUGGGCAUAAAGAGCACGUAGGCGGUUAAGCAAGUCCAUUGUGAAAUCCCCCGGCCUAACCGGGGAACUGCAUUGGAUACUACUUGACUUGAGUGCAGGAGGGGAGAGUGGAAUUCCGAGUGUAGAGGUGAAAUUCGUAGAUAUUCGGAGGAACACCAGUGGCGAAGGCGGCUCACUGGCUCGAUACUGACGCUGAGGUGCGAAAGCGUGGGGAGCAAACAGG
rnacentral:rRNA from 1 species